rnacentral:rRNA from 1 species
CCUACGGUGUGCAGCAGUAGGGAAUCUUCCACAAUGGGCGCAAGCCUGAUGGAGCAACACCGCGUGAGUGAAGAAGGGUUUCGGCUCGUACAGCUCUGUUGUUGGAGAAGAACGUGCGUGAGAGUAACUGUUCACGCAGUGACGGUAUCCAACCAGAAAGUCACGGCUAACUACGUGCCAGCAGCCGCGGUAAUACGUAGGUGGCAAGCGUUAAUCGGAAUUACUGGGCGUAAAGCGCUCGUAGGCGGUAUGUCAAGUCAAGGGUGAAAUCCCCGCGCUCAACGUGGGAACUGCCUUUGAAACUGGCAAACGGGAGUGUGUGAGAGGAUAGUGGAAGUCCAGGUGUAGGAGUGAAAUCCGUAGAUAUCUGGAGGAACAUAAGUGGCGAAGGCGACUAUCUGGCACAUAACUGACGCUGAGGAGCGAAAGCGUGGGUAGCAAACAGGAUUAGAUACCCGAGUAGUC